rnacentral:rRNA from 1 species
UACGAAGGGGGCUAGCGUUGCUCGGAAUCACUGGGCGUAAAGCGCACGUAGGCGGACUCUUAAGUCAGGGGUGAAAUCCUGGAGCUCAACUCCAGAACUGCCUUUGAUACUGGGAGUCUUGAGUUCGGGAGAGGUGAGUGGAACUGCGAGUGUAGAGGUGAAAUUCGUAGAUAUUCGCAAGAACACCAGUGGCGAAGGCGGCUCACUGGCCCGAUACUGACGCUGAGGUGCGAAAGCGUGGGGAGCAAACAGGG